GAACCACCAUGUGAGUACCGGAAACUAAAUCGGGUCCUCUGCAAGUAGGUGUUUGAAGACAUCUGGUGUGCCAGAGAUUGUGAUGCUUAAAAGCUUAAAGGCAACACUUCAAGGCUAUAUUCAGGGAUCUCAACCAGCAAUUCGGGCUAUGCAGCUGUUCAGAACCACGGCUGACCUAGGAGUACAGGGGUUUUAUGCAGCCUUGGGCUCACUUGCCCUCCCUGUCUCCCAUCAUGUGAAGACUGAGUAUUCUUUCCCUCUGGAUGGUGCAGCGAUGAGACGCCAUCUUGGAAAUGGAGAGCAGACCUCAACAGACAAGCAAGUCGGUCAACGCCAUGACCAAGAUUUUCUAGCCUCCACAACUGUGAAGAAACCCUUCUCUAUUCUUUAUAAACUGCCAGGCCACAGAUAUUAUGGUAUAGCAGCCCAGCCUAUAACAUCAUGUUCCUAAAAGGAAGAGCAUCUAUGAAAGGGAGAUAGUAGAUUUGAAAAUCAUUUGAAUGCCUAGAACUCCGGGCUAUCUUUUCCUGAUUAUACUUUAAUUUUUCUACCCCAAUGUUUAUGUUACUACACUGAUAAGCAAUAUAUCUUACAAUUCAAAGGAUCUCAGCCAUCUUGUAUUAGUCACGUCCUGGGCUUGGCUAACUUACACAUGGCUCCCUGCUUCAAGAACUACAGAAAGACUGUUCUAAGACUGGGUACCUGGUGACAAGCAUCUCCUUCUGCUGGGGUCCAGUAACUCAUGAGGUGUGAGAAGUCUGCCCACCACAGCAGUGGUGACCAUCAGGCUGAGAAGCUCCCUGUGAAACGAGAGUGAAGGAUGGCUGAUAAGAAGGGCCAGAGAUGGGACAAGAGAAAACACUUGAAGAAAGAAAAGGAAGCGUUUACAAUGUUGCCUUUGACUGGGGAAUGCUUGCUGCCUCCUGAACCAAUGCUGCCCCACAGAUAGGCUCGCACCACGCUCCAACUCCUGAGAAUACUUCGGAGCAAGCCUGUGUCUCCCAGGGAAAACAACAGAAGUACCAGUUCCCUUAGCAUUUGUUUUCCUGGGUGUACUAUUAACAUCAUCAGGACAGGCAGCCUGCUUCCCACAUCAGACCUGUGAAGCUCAAAUCUGGACACAUCGUAACAAUUCAUUUAACGAUUUGUCAUUGAUUUCUUUGUCUAAACUACUGACUGUAUGUUUGGGGUGUGCCAAUAAUACUUCUAAGCCGGGGAGUGUGAUUCGACAGUGAACAAACAGGUUAGGACACCUCUGCUUUCUAUUCAUCGUAGCUAAGUUACAGAAGCAGCCCUGUGCCUAUAAUCUGAAAAUGUGAUACACACACACACACACACACACACACACACACACACACACACACGUUACUUGGCCAUAAAGUAGAAUGAGCAGAAAAUGAAUGGAACUAGACAUCAGUAUGUUAAUUAAAAUCAGUCAGACACGGAAAGAUGAAUAAUACUUGUUUUUUUCCUAUAUAUGUGUCAGAUCAUGGCCCUGCUGUUUUAAGAUAUGGGUCACUCUAAG